GAGCCCUCUUUGGCGGCUAGGCAUGAAGAAGCGAGCAAGGAAAAGGAAGGUUCUUUGCAAGAGUCAGAGGGAGCUGGAAGAGCCAGCGUUAGCUGACAUCCAAUCUCGGUCUUAUUCCACAUUUGCUCAAGGCUCUUGCAAUCCAUAAGGGAGCAAAGUGCCAAGAACCUGAGUAUGCCUGUGAUCGCAGAGGGUGAGAGUGAAGAAGACGACCAUACAAGUGAGGAGGAUUAUGUACCGACGAAGAAAAAGAAAAGGACUCAUUAAGAAUACAUUCAGAUUUAAAAGACCGUGUAGACAUUGGCUUAGUGUGGGUCAGAGGUGUCUCCAGCUAAAGAAAACAAGCCAAGUAGCUCAAAUCCACCUUAUAAACUGCUUUAGAUCUGUGUUCGAGUUAAGAAGCUAGAAAGACAAGGGUCGGAAUUAGAGAACUUACCAUGGAAGAAGAACAUUGUAUCGUUGAUGACCUGCAGAGGGAAUUUCGUCAUUCCAUCUUUUUUCUUGUAAUUUUCCAGAGCUUAUCCUUAAUGUUUGUUGUAUGUAAAUUAUAAUGGAUCACUUGUUGAAUUGUAAAACAUUCUUUCUGCAUUCUCCUGUCAUCUUGACUUCUGUUAAGUGUGUGCCUGCUUUUCUGUAACCAUGAUUUAGGUUUCUGGCUGAGAAGCCAGAGGUUAGGAGUUCGAUUCCCCACUGUGCCUUAACAGAGGGGCUGAACCUGAUAAUCACUAGGGACCGCGUCUGGCUCUUAAGGAGUGGCUUUACCAGUUCCACACCUUGCAUGGCUGAGCAGGAAGGGAUUCAAACCAUGGUCUUCAGUCCAGUCCAUCACUAUCCACUACACCACAUGGGGUUCCUAAAUCCCAAUUGUCUAUGUCAGAUCACCGCAAUCCAUCCAUCGAGGAACCGCCAACCCGCCGCCAUCCUUGGUGCAACCUCCAGGCAGCCAGGAAAAGGGUCCUUCUGGAGGCCUCCUCUCCCCUUGCGGCCCCUCACCUGGCAACAAAGAGACGCUUCCCCAUGCCCAUCCAUGGGGCGCUCUUGAUGAUGGGGUCCGGCUAGGGUUGCCAGAUACAUGGAUACCAAAAGGAGGACAUAGGAUGAAAAAGAGGACAGAGGACGUAUGAAAU